UUGCAAAAAAAAACUGCUAAUGCAAUGAAGUCAGUGUUAUUGCUGAUCUUUGACAUGUCCAAGACUCUGAUAUAAAACAAUGUCAUAUCCUUUCACCUUGUAUUAUAUAGAAAAUAUGUCAUGAGUUAUGUUUUUAAUAAAGCAGAUGG